rnacentral:tRNA from 1 species
GCGGGAGUAGUUUAGUGGUAGAACGAAACCUUCCCAAGGCUUAAGUGUGAGUUCGAUUCUCAUCUUCCGCU